rnacentral:sRNA from 1 species
AGAAAGGGGAUCGCUUUUUAGACUCUGGUGUGCAAGUCCCGCGUUGACGGGAAAGCCUUAAGGGGUUUUAGCGGUCCCCACUUGAACUCUAAGGUUCAAGGUACCCCGGGAAUUUGCGGCAACAGCGGGUGAUGC